UGAGAUAGAGAGAGACGCUUCGCAAAUCUCAAUCGAAUCUCAGAAAAAUGAGAGAAAUCAUCAGCAUUCACAUAGGUCAGGCCGGGAUCCAGGUCGGAAACUCCUGCUGGGAACUCUACUGCCUCGAACAUGGCAUCCAGCCCGACGGCAUGAUGCCUUCUGACUCCACCUUCGGUGUAGCCCACGACGCCUUCAACACCUUCUUCAGCGAAACCGGAUCUGGCAAGCACGUCCCCCGUGCUGUCUUCGUCGACCUCGAACCCACCGU
rnacentral:lncRNA from 1 species